CAUGAUCAUCAACGUUUGGAAGGUCAAGUCCAGAAAAUGAAGAAUGAUAUCCUGGGAUUAAACUAUCCAGAAGAUAGUGAAGUGAAGGAUCCCCUGCCUCAGAUCGAGCUGUAGGCUGUGACAAGGAGAAAAGUUAAGACCAAGAAUGGGGUCCAGUGCCAACAGGUCCACAGUUGAACGGAGCACUGAUACUGAUGCAGCUGAAAGAGAUUUUGUUGAUAAUCAGAAUUCUGAAGAUGAGGAAGAGGUGAAGAAGGAUCCACUGCCUCAGAUGGAGCAGGAUGCCGUGAAGAGAAAUAAAGUCAAGGACAAUGACCUAACACACCUCCAGGCUGUGGAAGGGCUAUUUGACCAAGAGGGAGAGUGAUGGAGUGCUGCAUCAGAUGACCUGGCCUCCACAAUCACCUGAUCUCAACCCAAUUGAGAUAGUUUGGGAUGAGUUGGACCGCGGAGUGAAGGAAAAGCAGCCAACAAGUACUCAGCAUAUGUGGGACCUCCUUCAAGACUGUUGGAAAAACAUUCCAGGUGAAGCUGGUUGAAAGAAUGCCAAGAGCGUGCAAAGCUGUCAUCAAGGCAAAGGGUGGCUACUUUGAAGAAUCUCAAAUAUAAAAUAUAUUUAGAUUUGUAUUUGGUUACUGCAUGAUUUCAUAUGUGUUAUUUCAUAGUUUUAUUCUACAAUGUAGAAAAUAGUAAAAAUAAAU